UAAAAAAAAAAAAAAAGAAAAAGAAAACAGAGAAGACAUUAUUGGACACAUGCUUGAAUAAAAUAUCACAAAAAAUAUAAAAUACAAAUAAACAAAAAUCACAUACACAAUGGUGAUGCUAUUUUAAAGAACUCUAUGUAAUGUUUAUUAUAUUAUUACUUUAACAAAGGAGUAAAUUUAUAUUCUGAUAUCUUCCAGCCAAGAUUUUCCUUUCAUAUAAAGAACACAAAUGGCAACAAUCAACACUGAUAAAUGACACAAACUGUCCAAUCUCAUGGCUUCAAUUUUUCGGAUUUUCCUCCUAUACUUGGUAUCACUUGCUGUGCUAUUGCUGACAGACCUCAGUGCCUGCCUCACAACCUAUUUAAAACCUCAUUUCCUUGCCCCAACAAAGGUCUGCAAAUGGCAUUUACCUCACACACAGUGUGGCACACACUGUGCUAACAAUAAGCACUUUAGGAAUAUAAGGUUAUUUAAUCUUUCAAAAGAAUACCACUGGGUAAUAUGACCACUGAUAACAGGGGCCUGCAUAGGUUGGGAGCAACAGAGAAAUGAAGACCUAGUUUUACAGAGAGAAGUUUAUUUAUUGUAACACCCUGACACCCCAAAAAAAGCACAUUAGCAAGAACUUGAAUGUACAAAACCCAGCGACAAGUGUGUCAUAUUCAUGAGGGAAUAUAAUGUAGUCAUUAAAAAUAAUGCUCAUGUGGAAAACGUAUUUAAGGUUUUAACAAUCAAUUAUUAAACGUAUUUAUAGUUUAUUAAAUGUACUUUACAGUUUAUAGGUUGGGGGUCAAGCCAUACACUGAUUUGUACAUAAAUGUUAUAAUCUACAAAUACAUUUUAAUUAUAAAGCAUAAGAUUUCUCCAUUACUUUGUUUUUCAGGAUUUUGCAGACCAUCUACAAAAAUAGAUAAAUGUUCUCCUCCUUACACUCAACAAGGUUUUCAUCAUGUUCUGCUAUUUCCUCCUUUGCGCCACUAUUAUCUCUCUAUGUCAUUCAAAUAACUAUUGAGGAAAGAACAUCAUUUAGAGGGACACUCAAGGAACUACCAGCUUCUGGCCACAGAAGAUCCCUCACCCUCAC